AUCCUUGAUCCCAAACAACUUCCAGCUCCCUACAUAAGUGCACUAAACAGCCUAUAACUAGUGAAUCAUAUUAGAUACACCCUGUGCAGUGGACUACAUUUUGACCCAGUAAAACAGAGAGAGCAGAGCAGCAGUGAAACUCCAACUCUGUCUCUUCUUACUGCAGGUUGGUCUGGUAAUGUUUCUCUUCCGUUCAAACCGGAGAUCAGUCACUUCAUUUUUCCGAGGCACCGUGUAGUGUUCGUGUAGUGUUCAUGUAGUGUUCAUAUUACAGGUUGUUGUACAGCUACACUUAGUGCUGAGUCAGCGCUGCUAUCAACAUGGCGGCUCUGAUACAUGAGAGUGUGAAGAGUUAUUACAGCUCUCUGGAGUCGUCGGAUGCUUUGCAGACGAGUGCUGCUUGUUCUGCUUUCUCCCGGCCGCUGCCUCGGAGCGUACAACAAGCCCUCAAACACAUCCAUCCAGAGGUCUGCAAAAGGUUCUUCGGCUGUGGUCUGGUGGCUCCGGAGAAGCUGAAAGGAUGUUGGGUUCUGGAUUUGGGAAGCGGUUCGGGUCGGGACUGCUACGUCCUCAGCAAACUGGUGGGAGAAGAUGGACGUGUCACUGGCAUUGACAUGACUGAGGAUCUGAUACAAGCAUCAAGGAAGUACAUCGGAUACCACCAGGAGCGUUUUGGCUAUGCCAAGCCGAACACUGAGUUUGUUCAUGGAUAUAUGGAGAGGCUCAGUGAUGCCGGGAUACCGGACAACUCUCUGGACGUAGUCAUAUCGAACUGUGUGAUUUGUCUUUGUCCAGACAAGAGGGCCGUUCUAAGUGAAGCUUACAAAGUACUCAAGGCCGGGGGUGAACUUUACUUCAGUGAUAUGUAUGCGAGCGAGGUGGUCCCCGAGACGUUCAAACUGGAUCCAGUGCUUUGGGGUGAAGGAAUGGGCGGCGCCCUCUACUGGCAUGAUUUCAUCUCCAUCAUGAAGGAACUGGGCUUCAGCACGCCUCGUCUGGUCGCAGCUAGUCGUAUUGAAGUACACAACCCAGAGCUCCGAACGAAAGCAGGUGAUAUUAAAUAUGCCUCAGGGACCUACCGUGCCUUUAAAUUGCCCCAACAGUCCAUUCAAACCAAAGCACUGGUCACGUACAAGGGGACGGUUCCGGACUGUGCCGAGUAUUUUGAGCUGGAUGCCUCGAGCUCCUUUAAGGUAAAUGUGCCCGUGGAGGUGGACGCAGAGACGGCAGCUAUCCUCCGGCACACACGUUUCUCGCCAGACUUCAUCGUCCAGACGAAAGACGAGCGUGAUCCUAGCCUCGGUUCCGCUCGGCAGGAAUACAGUCCGAAAGAAAAGAAACAUCGAGGUUUUCACCAGAUUGUGAGGGAAUGUAGAUUUGGGUAUCGUCAGCAUAGAAGUGAUGACGGAGGCCGAGCGAUGGCGGCGGAUGCCCGAGUGCAGAUGAAUGAAUAUUGAAUCGUAAAGGGCCUAAUACUGAUCCCUGAGGAACACCAGUGAGCACAGAGCUAGUGUCAGACCUGUAACCAUGCGCAGAAAUAAACCGGGAACGGUCAGUAAAACAGGAUUUAAACCAGUUUAAAACCACACCAAAAACUCUUUCAAGGCAGUACUGCCACCUGAGCCCGUUCCUGCUGGCAGACAGACUGGGAUCCUGUGUGAAGCAGUGCUCUAAGACGGGCGUCGCGGCCGGAAGCCGUGAGUAAUGAGGGAAAGCGCAUCGUGUUUGUUCACAGUGGGAUUAAAGGCUCUACAUCGAACAGAAACACAUUGGAUUCCAAAGUACAAAACUGAAGCCUUUGUAUGUUUUUUUUUUUUGUUUGUUUUGUUUCGUUUUGUUUUUUUCGUUGUGAUAUUUGACUGCAAAUGAUUUUUGUAUAUUAGAAUGACGUCGCAAUAGGAAAAGUGGUUAAUGUUAAUACUCAAUAAUGGUCUAGAAUAGUACAUAAGUAUUCGAGAUACGACACCGGUUUAUUCAGUUGAGGUAGACGGAUGGGGGAUAUGUGUCCGUUUUUGUCGAAGUCGUAUGUGAAUGAUGAGCAUAGGGAUAGUGGAAAAAAAAACAAAAACAAAACUAAAACAGCAUGCGCAUGCUUCAUUUAAAUGUGGCUUUGAUUGAAUGCGAUGCCCAGUAACUUUCAAAAUAUAUAUACAUUUAAAUAUGUAUAAUAACUUUCAAUAUAUGAAAAUAUAUAAAUGAAAGAAAGGUGAUUGACUCCAUUUGUAAAUCAAAGGACAGCACGUGGGGUCGUGACCCUAGUUUGGGAAUCCCUGAUCUAAUAGGAGUGUAGUAUAUGGCUAAUAUGUUGCUGCGUGAAUAAUCUUAGUUGUAAUUAUUGCAUUAAUAUUCAUCGCUGUAAAUUGGGUCCAAGUUAACAAAAUUCAAGUAAAGAAAAACAUUAUUCAGCAAGUGCUGCUGUUAUUCAAAUAGCACUUGAUCCAGUACAAUGUUGUUGUUGUUGUUGUUGUUGUUGUUUAGAAGCAGGUUUUUUAAUAAAAGGAGCAGGAUGUGAAAUUCUGUAUGGCGCAGUGUUAAAAUAAAAACAGUCCAUGUGUGGUUAUUAAACAUGUUAUGGUAUUCUUGAAUUGUUAAAUGAUCUUACACUGUAAAAAAAAACAAAAACAAAUAAACAACAACAACAAAGUCA